UUUUUCUUAGAAUUAAACAGUAUAUCUAAUGCGAACAUGAAAUCCACUUGGCACCUAUGGGCCCUAUCCUUUAUUAAACUUACUGUCGACAGUUUACUUCGCCAUCCAAUAAUUAGUAUUUGAAUCUCAUGUUCUUAAGCUGUUGAAUAUGCUUGCAAAACUUUUAAAUUGUUUCAACAUUAUAUCAGGCAAGAAGAGCACUGCGGGCCCUGAGAGGACUGGUUAGGUUGAAGUACUUGAUUGAUGGAAAUUCUGUCAAGCGUCAAGCCACAACUACGUUACGUUGCAUGCAGACACUGGCAAGAGUUCAGUCACAGAUCCGUUCUAGGAGAAUCCGAAUGCUUGAGGAAAACCAGGCCCUUCAACGGCAGCUGCUGCUUAAACGUGAGAGAGAGCUUGAAAGUUUGAGG
rnacentral:lncRNA from 1 species